rnacentral:tRNA from 1 species
GGAGAGGUGACCGAGUGGACGAAGGUGCACGACUGGAAAUCGUGUGUACAGCAAUGUACCGUGGGUUCGAAUCCCACCCUCUCCGCCA